UAUAAGGCUUGGAAGCCAGCAGCUGCGACUCCCGAGACCCCCCCACCAGAAGGCCAUGGUCUCCCCACGGAUGUCCCGGCUUCUCUCCCAGACUGUGAUCCUAGCGCUCAUUUUCCUCCCCCAGACACGGCCCGCUGGCGUCUUCGAGCUGCAGAUCCAUUCUUUCGGGCCGGGCCCAGGCCCUGGGGCCCCGCGGUCCCCCUGCAGCGCCCGGGUCCCCUGCCGCCUCUUCUUCAGAGUCUGCCUGAAGCCUGGGCUCUCGGAGGAGGCCGCCGAGUCCCCGUGCGCCCUGGGCGCGGCGCUGAGUGCGCGCGGACCGGUCUACACCGAGCAGCCCGGAGCGCCCGCGCCUGAUCUCCCACUGCCCGACGGCCUCUUGCAGGUGCCCUUCCGGGACGCCUGGCCUGGCACCUUCUCUUUCAUCAUCGAAACCUGGAGAGAGGAGUUAGGAGACCAGAUUGGAGGGCCCGCCUGGAGCCUGCUGGCGCGCGUGGCUGGCCGGCGGCGCUUGGCAGCCGGGGGCACGUGGGCCCGGGACAUUCAGCGCGCAGGCGCCUGGGAGCUGCGCUUCUCGUACCGCGCGCGCUGCGAGCCGCCUGCCGUCGGGACCGCGUGCACGCGCCUCUGCCGUCCGCGCAGCGCCCCCUCGCGGUGCGGUCCGGGACUGCGCCCCUGCGCACCGCUCGAGGACGAAUGUGAGGCGCCGCCGGUGUGCCGAGCAGGCUGCAGCCCUGAGCAUGGCUUCUGUGAACAGCCCGGUGAAUGCCGAUGCCUAGAGGGCUGGACUGGACCCCUCUGCACGGUCCCUGUCUCCACCAGCAGCUGCCUCAGCCCCAGGGGCCCGUCCUCUGCUACCACCGGAUGCCUUGUCCCUGGGCCUGGGCCCUGUGAUGGGAACCCGUGUGCCAAUGGAGGCAGCUGUAGUGAGACACCCGGGUCCUUUGAAUGCGCCUGCCCGCGUGGGUUCUACGGGCUGCGGUGUGAGGUGAGCGGGGUGACAUGUGCGGAUGGACCCUGCUUCAACGGCGGCUUGUGUGUCGGGGGUGCAGACCCUGAUUCUGCCUACAUCUGCCACUGCCCACCCGGUUUCCAAGGCUCCAACUGUGAGAAGAGGGUGGACCGGUGCAGCCUGCAGCCAUGCCGCAAUGGCGGACUCUGCCUGGACCUGGGCCACGCCCUGCGCUGCCGCUGCCGCGCCGGCUUCGCCGGUCCUCGUUGCGAGCACGACCUGGACGACUGCGCGGGCCGCGCCUGCGCUAACGGCGGCACGUGUGUGGAGGGCGGCGGCGCGCACCGCUGCUCCUGCGCGCUGGGCUUCGGCGGCCGCGACUGCCGCGAGCGCGCGGACCCGUGCGCCGCGCGCCCCUGUGCUCACGGCGGCCGCUGCUACGCCCACUUCUCCGGCCUCGUCUGCGCUUGCGCUCCCGGCUACAUGGGAGCGCGGUGUGAGUUCCCAGUGCACCCCGACGGCGCAAGCGCCUUGCCCGCGGCCCCGCCGGGCCUGAGGCCCGGGGACCCGCAGCGCUACCUUUUGCCGCCGGCUCUGGGACUGCUGGUGGCCGCGGGCGUGGCCGGCGCUGCGCUCUUGCUGGUCCACGUGCGCCGCCGUGGGCACGCCCAGGAUGCUGGGGCUCGCUUGCUGGCUGGGACCCCGGAGCCGUCAGUCCACGCACUCCCGGAUGCACUCAACAACCUAAGAACGCAGGAGGGUGCCGGGGAUGGCCCGAGGUGAGGGGCUGCACCACAGACGAACGCCUUGCGCUGCUGGCUGCUUGUACCCAUCUCCGUGGUGCAGUUGGCCCGAUUCCUUGAUGCAUUUCCCUGCUCGUCCGUAGAUUGGAAUCGCCCUGAAGAUGUAGACCCUCGAGGGAUUUACGUCAUAUCUGCUCCUUCCAUCUACGCUCGGGAGGCCUGACGCGUCUCCUCCAUCCGCACCUGGAGUCAGAGCGUGGAUUUUUGUAUUUGCUCGGUGGUGCCCAGUCUCUGCCCCCAGAGGCUUUGGAGUUCAAUCUUGAAGGGGUGUCUGGGAGAACUUUACUGUUGCAAGUUGUAAAUAAUGGUUAUUUAUAUCCUAUUUUUUCUCACCCCAUCUCUCUAGAAGCACCUAUAAAGGCUAUUAUUGUGAUCA